UCCUGCCCUGUUAGGAUGGUGGUUCUGGACUGAGAAGCUGUCCUCCUUGCCCCUUUGCCCUGUGUGCCUCUCUGGUCUAGCCCCGCCGAGGCCCAGGGAGCCAUCCUUCCCCUCCUUGGGGUCCAUCUUACAAGUCCGGAUGCCAUCAGCUCCAAGGAGUUCCCUCUGGGCCAGAGCUCCUCCCUCCUCCGCCAGCCUCCUUGGGGUGCAGACAGACAGCCCAGCACAGGCCGGAAGGGCUUUCUGUUUGCCUUGGCUGGUGGGGAAGAGAUUAGCUGCUCGCUUUCUGUUUUGACUGUUGUAUCUAACCAACACAGAGCCUGUGACAUCUCAGAAAAGCAGCCUUGGGUCUUGAAUGAGUUUGGGGCCUGUCCCUGAUGGCCUGGCCUCUGCAGAGAUGUCUGGAGGGGAUGACUUCUCCCCACCUCCUGGGAUUCACGUGGGGCCACUCCCCAUCCACUGGCUUUAGAGGCAGGCGUGUGUCCCAAGCUGGACACUGAGACUCCCUCUUGGGACGUUUGCAGCAACUAUGGGAAAAGAGGCAUUCACUUUUCAUGGGAGUUGCCACAUUGAUGGAACUCCUGCUUUCCACUUGAGGACGGAGCCAAGUGGUAGAGAAAGUAUGCUGUCCCCAGACCUCAGUAAGCCCCUGGAUCCAGCCAUGCCUGAAGCUAACACACCUCUGGACUAACCUGAUUAUAUGAGCCAACGAAUGCAUUUCUUUUUUUCUAAAACUAUCCUGAGUUGGAUUUCUGUCAUAGAAAGGGUCCUAAUAAAGCUAUGUUUUUCUUUGGUCUCACU